rnacentral:rRNA from 1 species
UACGGAAGGCAGCAGUGGGGAAUAUUGCACAAUGGGCGCAAGCCUGAUGCAGCCAUGCCGCGUGUAUGAAGAAGGCCUUCGGGUUGUAAAGUACUUUCAGCGGGGAGGAAGGCGAUGUGGUUAAUAACCGCGUCGAUUGACGUUACCCGCAGAAGAAGCACCGGCUAACUCCGUGCCAGCAGCCGCGGUAAUACGGAGGGUGCAAGCGUUAAUCGGAAUUACUGGGCGUAAAGCGCACGCAGGCGGUCUGUUAAGUCAGAUGUGAAAUCCCCCGGGCUUAACCUGGGAACUGCAUUUUGAAACUGGCAGGCUUGAGUCUCGUAGAGGGGGUAGAAUUCCAGGUGUAGCGGUGAAAUGCGUAGAGAUCUGGAGGAAUACCGGUGGCGAAGGCGGCCCCUGGGACGAAGACUGACGCUCAGGUGCGAAAGCGUGGGGAGCAAACAGGAUUAGGAUACC